AUUGAACGCUGGCGGCAGGCCUAACACAUGCAAGUCGAGCGAGCGGCGGGCGAGUGAGUAAUGCCUGGGAAUUGCCCAGUCGAGGGUGAUAACAGGUGGACACGACUGCUAAUACCGCAUACGAUUGUAUUGCCCAGGUGGGGUUGGCUAGUUGGUGAGGUAAUGGCUCACCAAGCCGACGAUCCCUAGCUGGCCUGAGAGGAUGAUCGGCCACACUGGAACUGAGACACGGUCAGGACCCCUACGGGAGGCAGCAGUGGGGAAUUUUGCACAAUGGGGGAAACCCUGACGCAGCCAUGCCGCGGGUGUGAAGAAGGCCUUCGGGUUGUAAAGCACUUUCAGUGAGGAGGCGGUACCCGAAUAAGAAGCACCGGCUAACUACGUGCCAGCAGCCGCGGUAAUUC
rnacentral:rRNA from 1 species